rnacentral:rRNA from 1 species
CCUACGGGAGGCAGCAGUGGGGAAUAUUGCACAAUGGGCGCAAGCCUGAUGCAGCCAUGCCGCGUGUAUGAAGAAGGCCUUCGGGUUGUAAAGUACUUUCAGCGGGGAGGAAGGUGUUAAGGUUAAUAACCUUGUCGAUUGACGUUACCCGCAGAAGAAGCACCGGCUAACUCCGUGCCAGCAGCCGCGGUAAU